rnacentral:lncRNA from 1 species
CUUUGUGCAAGGGUAAAGAAACUUAAUUUUAUACAGACUGAGUAGCCAAAGGUAGACUGUGUUAUGUACAUUUCUUACCUAGGAGUACAGGACUUCAGUGUGUAUACAAACAUUUAUUGGCAGGGUGAAGAUGAACAGCUACUUUACAUGUUUUUGGGAGUGAUUUUAUUUUAUUUUCGAUCAUUUUACUUCUAAAAUAAUAGUGCUCUCAGAUUAUUUAAGUUGUUCAUAUGUAAGGGUGUAUAAACAUACUCAUAUCUUCUCAUGUGAUGUCAGUUUUCCAGCCAAUAUCCAGCCAGUUUCCUGCAAAACUCUACAUGAAUCCUCAUGCAGAAGUAGAACUCAAAACUCCCAAAUUAGAUUGGAGCAUAGAAGUGCAGAAUAUUGCCAUUGAGCUGACCAAGCCCCAGUACUUAAGUAUGAUUGACCUUUUGGAAUCGUUGGAUUAUAUGGUUAGAAAUGUACCUUAUAGGAAAUAUAAACCUAAUUUACCACUUCAUACCAAUUGUAGGCAAUGGUGGAAGUAUGCCAUUGAUUCAGUUCUUGAAGUUCAUAUAAGAAGAUGUACACAGAUGUGGUCAUGGUGUAACAUAAAGAAGCAUAGAGAGUUACUCAAGAGUUAUAAAAUCGCUUACAAGAAUAAGCUAACUCAGACUAAACUCUUGGAAGAAAUCCAGAAACAAAUUCAGGUAUACUUUGUGCACAGUGGUGAGAGCCCUUAAUUGUCUGAUCACCUUUUAAUGUUGAUU